UCUCACACACCAGAGGGGUAGGAAGCCCCAGGCAGGAAAGAGGAAGAAAAACACAACAAAAUUGGAACACACCUGCGACCCCACUGCCCCCUGAGAAGGGAGUGUGUCCCCUGCGAUCUGCAGCCACGGGUCAAGUCUACAGCCUUAUCCUCCAUGGCCAGAGGCAGCCAGAUGCAGUCAGCCCUCAACACUUGACACCCUCUGAGACACGACCCCUGGGGCUUUCUGGAGCCCCAGACAGGGGACAGGGAACAGAGCUGGCCAAGCAGACCCUGCAGGACAGCAGGGCCACCCUGAGAAUCGCUGGGACCACAGGCAGCGUCCCUUGGCAUCUGUGAUUCUAGAGCCCACCCAGGCCUAUCGGACAGCCAUGGAGCUACCUUGAAAAGCAAAGCAAAAACACCCAUUGGCCGCCAUGGGAUAAAAAGAAGCAGUUCUGUUGCUCUGAGGUCUCCCCACAAAACUUUUUCCCGCCACUUCACAGGCAAAAUUAAAAAACCACUAAGAGGAACUCAGAACUCAAUGUCACCAUUGGCCAGGACCUCCCUGCAAUCAGAUUACAGGACUUAAUGGGACAAGAUUUGAGAACAAAACAAAGGACAUGGUGUGGCCAAUAUGACCCAGACAACCACUUGGCCAGAGACCUCGAGAAAAACCAGAAGGGUGUUGCUCCAUCUUUAAAGCCAAAAAAAUGGCAGCCGGGUCUAAGCAGAUACAGCCUUCAUUCAUUCAUUCAUUCAUUCAUCUCUCAAGCAUCUUGCAUUGGGCAUGGGGCAUGAACAUGAAAUGUGACCCAGUCCUCAUUCUCAAGAAACUCGCCUAAAGCAGGGGGAAAGAGCAAUCAAUUAGCAAGUGACAAGAGCCACAUCUUUAUCCCAGCUCUGCAUCUUGGCUGUAUCUGGGAGGCGCCAAGGUGAGCCUCAGUUUCCUCUCUGAGCCCUGCAGGUGCUGUGGCCUUGGCCUCAAAGCUCUGAAUGGUUUUAGCUCAAAUGUGAUACUCUGGAAUCUGCCUGUCCUUCAGUAACUCCAGGCUCAUUCAAACAGGCUGCCCAGACACCCAGGGCAGAGUCUGCCGGUCUGAAGGCCAGCUGACAGCCUUAAUUUGUCUCCCUGGUUGAAAGGGCAAUGGUGUAUAAGGUUAGGAUCAGAGGAAAACCCUCAGACUGUGGGCUCCUGAAGGACCCUGUUUAUGCAGCCUUGGGCUUAUUCCUGCCCAUGCGUAGAUCUGGGGAGUAAAGCAGCUUAUCACUGCCAAUCUGCAUCAGGAAGGCAGCGGCAGGGGAGGCAACCCAUUCUGCCUUUAAAGAAGCGGUCUGCAAGGGGAGGUUUUGGAAGCAGGGACAAGUGGCGGCCUGGGCACCCAUGUGAGCCUCACAUGCACGGGGGUUCCUGUCCGCCUGCGCUCACAGGAAGCAAGCAAAGUGCAGUGCCAGUUCUACCAGACACCGUCAGAGGCUGCUGUACGGUAGGCAAGAAGCAUGGAGUCUGCCCCUGGGCUUCUCCUGGCGGCAUCAGAAACACGGCCACACUCCACGCCCGCCUUGGACCCCGAACCCUUCAGCUCCCAAGAGAGACAAACUGGUCUGUUUUUGCUCAUGGAUGUAUUCCCGGCACCUGGAACAAUGCCUGACAUCUCGUACAUACUCAUUAAAGGCUUGAAAUAAUUACUUCUUUAA